AGUUCCGAGAACCCUAAGGACCCCCGACUGGCCUCCAAACGAAAGCCACACCCAGUCCGGCAUCCAGACACCUGGUUGGGAUCAGUCCAGGGACCCGGUCUUACAGGACAGCCUGAACCAAAAGGAGGCAAGGGGUCCUAGAGUGGGAGGGCGCGGCACUACGAAGCCCCCAGAUGCACGGUUCAAGUCUAGUCCUCAGUUAAAGGGCGGGUCAGCUGCCCCCCUUCUCGUCCUCUCCCUGAAAGGGUGAGAAUUAUCUGGCACCCAGCCCCGGGUGCGGUUGCAGAGAGCUCCGGGUAUCUGAGGUUUGGAGGCGACCCCACUGCAAGGAGAUUGUCUGGGGCUGCAAAGGGAAGUCAGCCCCACAGCCGGGCACACUGAAAGGGAGCCCGCAGCCGAAGCAAGGAAGCGCCGGAGUCCUUCAGACACAUCCCCGCCUCCACACUCCCAUCAGCCCGGGCCGAGGGGACGCGGUUCCCAGCCCCGAAUUUGGGCGACCGCCCCCGCUUUCCAACCCGGCGGGCGGCGCUACAGAAGCUCAAAAGCUUGUCUGGCCAGAUGAGAUGGAAAACCAGUGUACUUUGGAGACGUGAAGGAGGCUGAAGGAAAGGAACAAACAUAGGAUGUGAUAAGACCCCACAGCCAAGUUCCUGCAAACCCAGCCAGGAGAUAUCCUGAGUUUAUGCUUUUGGGCCUCAAAGGGGUAUUAUCUGUGUUCUCCCACUAGAUUCUAAAAUCUGUGAGAUCCGUGAGCUCAAGAAAUUUUCCAGCACAAAGCACAUAGGGAGGUUUCCAAGGAAGUCUCAUUCAAUAUUGAAUGAAGAAAUGAAGGAAUGAAGGAAUGAACCUCCACUUUGCAGGGGAGUAAAAAGAGACUCAGAGGGAUGAGGGAAUUUGCCCAGCAGCCACCAGGCAGGAAGUGUGGAAGAACCGGGCUCAAACCUAGGAUGGUCUGACCUCCAGUUCAAGUUUAUAACCAUUUCACCACACCACCUCUGGGAUCCGGGAACAGGUGAUGCUUCCCAGCAGCGAGACUCUAAACCAGCAGGGGUUCCCAGCCGGAGACAUGAUCUAAGUGCCAACGUCUGAAUGUCUGUGAGCAUUUCGAGUCGUUUGGAGAAAAGGCAACGUUAGCGGUACCAUUAUGGCCUGCUGUUCUCCAUGCCAUCACCGCCAUCCCCACCUAUUAAAAUAAUGGUAUGAAAAAUAAACAGCCUUUAUGGACAAUUUUAUACAACCCAUGCAUUGUUUGUUUCUCUCACCGUUACCAUGGCAGUGAUGUUCUCCUGAUAACUUCUGAGUUUCUACA